ACUUUAUAUACGCAUAAGUCGUAAAAUAAUGAUCUCCGCGCUUUGAAACUGGGAUUUUUGGAUUCUACUUAUGAUAUGAUAAAUAAGGGUCACAAAUUUGGUAUGUCCCAUAUAAGCGCGACGUUAUUUUCUUCUUCUUAAAUACUACAGAAAAAUUACUUAAAUUAAAAAAGCUAUUUUUCUAUCAUACUGAUUGACAUUUGGAUGUUCCGUUGUUCCUGUAAUAAGGAGGUUAAUCACGCGAUCUUACUCGUUCCCUCGUCUUCUCGUGGAUACAGUGGAAAUUUGUCCGACUAUCUUUUGCCAGAAAAAUCUCACAUUGCUCUACCUACUGCCGAGAAUUUGACAAAAGCUUCACGAUUUAAGAUUACACUGUCAUUUGUUAUAGAAAUCGAUAUAGGAAAUAUUAUAGUAUUCAAGAGAUAUUUGUAUAUAUAAUAAAUCUAAAAUAGCAUUGUAUAAACUAAACCUAACCCAUACAGGUGCAUGUGAUUUCAAAUAAAUGAAAUAAAAGAAUUAUAUUAGAGAAAGCAAAAUUUGAUGUGAAUUAUGUAUAUAUUAUUUUAAGAAGAUUUAUAAUAAAAAUAUUGAAAUCUUAUUAUUGA
rnacentral:lncRNA from 1 species